GAAAUGGGGUCUGACAUUGCAGCCUCGGAUUGUGCGACCAUGGCCAUCAUCAUCGUCGCCGCAGCACAAUUAUCCCAAUUUUACCGCCCGGCGUCAUUCCCUCCCUCACUUCCUCACUCCACCUCUGGUGUGUUCCUUGCUUUGCCAGGCCCCAACGGACUCUCCCAUUAGGGUUCCGGGGUGCAAAAACAAGCUGCAAGGGCACAGGCGUGGAUGCUGUUGGAUCUGUUGUGUCACGGCCACGGGAUUGCAGUGAGAUUGCUGUUGUUGCUGCUGCUGCUGCUGAGCCACUCUCCCACUACUUCGAACUUUCACAAUGAGUCGCAAAUCGGACUGGUUUGAUAUACUGCGGUUAGACAAAAGAUUCACGACUGAUCAGUGUGGCCGCUGCCGUUGAGUACCCUAAAUUUCAACAUUAACUGCUAUCUAUACGUGUAAACACAAGUAUGGCACAUACUAAACUUCUUCACUGAGAUGAAAGUUCAGAAAGAGAGCUACAUACCGACAUCAAGAAUAAACUUGGCAGAGGGCAUCGCGAUAAGGUCCAGCAGUUCAUGACUAUUACUGGAGCCAAUGAGAAAGCCGCUCUGACAGCCUUAAAGGCCAGCGAUUGGAAUUUGGAAGGAGCCUUUGAAAUUUUUUACAACCAGCUACCUGCGAGACCAGUUACAGACCCUCGGCAUCUGGAAGAGUUUUAUCUUAAAUACAAAGAUGCUUAUUCAGAUAUGAUAUUGGUCGAUGGGGUUUCAGCAUUCUGUGAUGAUUUGCAGGUAGAUCCAGGGGACGUUGUUAUGCUUGUCAUCUCCUGGCAUAUGAAAGCAGUCACCAUGUGUGAAUUCUCAAGACAAGAAUUUAUUGGUGGCCUCCAAUCGCUGGGGGUGGACUCACUCUAUAAGCUCAAGCACCUUCUCCCAUCCUUACGGGCAGAGCUGAAAGAUGAACACAAAUUUCGAGAAAUUUACAACUUCUCCUUCAAUUGGGCUAAAGAAAAGGGACAAAAAUCACUGGCGUUGGAUACUGCCUUAGGCAUGUGGCGGCUAUUAUUUGCGGAGCGGUUGUGGCCUCUCGUAGAAUCAUGGUGCCAGUUCUUACAGGCUAAGCACAACAAAGCUAUCUCGAAGGAUACCUGGGCGCAACUUCUUGAAUUCUCUAAGACAAUUGACCCGACACUCUCAAACUACGAUGCAGAAGGCGCCUGGCCAUAUUUAAUUGAUGAGUUCGUGGAGUAUCUACGAGAAACUGGGGUAGUGCAUCCUCGUUAAGUAUACUUGCUUGGCUGCAUCAUUAGCGCUUAUCGUGAUGAGGUUUCCUGCUUUGGGGCUUCUGAAUCCAAGGUUUGUCUACCCAGUGGAAGGUCGAUUGACUGCAAUCCAAGUGCUUGCAGGCAAAUCUGUAGUGUUAAUAUCUUACAAGGUCACCUUCCACAGUGAAACGUUUCAACGAUAAGAUCCCGAAGUGGAGCUUGACAAAUAUCUUGGACUGUUUCCUUCCAAGAUAUAGCCUGUUCCAGGUGCCCGGGUGAGGCUUGCUCAUCUGGACUUUGAUGGUGCUGUUAGCCUGUACGGUUUAAACCCUGCACAGCGCAUCGGAACUGCUACCUGUAUUGUUGGGUUGAAUGGCAGUUCUACAAACAUUUCUUCACACAGAAGGAUUGUCUUUUUGGAUACAUAUGAAGUUUAACAAUGUCCUUUAGAAAAGUAGUUGAGAGCAGAGGGUGGAAGGCAGCAGUUGCCUCUAGCAGACGAACAUACCAGUACCGGAAGAGGUGGCACCUCGGUGCACAGGAAGAGAUGCCUCGGUCAUUUUAAAAAUAAUUAUGUUUCCUUAACUACAGGGUCCCCCAUGGACGUGAUAGUUUGCCACUAUCGCAUUUUUUCAGUUUGUCCUGAGAAGGUUACUGUACGAUCCUGAGAUUUCUAAUAGAUAUAGCAGCAGAAAGAGCCUUGAACGUGGUACAGAUAUUAACUCCAUGGUGCUCUUUUUGCUUUAGAAGGGAUUAUUGUGGUUGGAUGGAACAAUGUAAAGGUAAUCCUAUCGCAAUAAUGCUUCAGAUGUGCAGAAUCACUUGAGCCAAGGCUUACUCUGAAGAGCAUUCAAUAAUGUAAAAAUAAAUGGCAGAGGUGACCCUGCUGGACUUGGUUUUAGUUC